GCGCGAGGGAGCAGUCUCCCAAGAGUGCUCCCUCUUCAGCUCCCUCGCGCACAGCACUGAUGCCGGAGCCGGAAUAUGACGUCAUAUUCCGGCUCCGGCAUCAGUACACGGCGCGUGAGGGAACUGAAGAGGGAGCACUCAGGGGAGAGUACUCCCUCGCGUGC